AUGCUUCGGGCGCGGCGCCUUCCAAGUCCCCUGGAACGGGGCGCCGGAGAGGGUGAGAGCCCCGUACUGUCGGACGCCAAGCCUAUGUGAAGCUCCUUCGACGAGUCGAGUAGUUUGGGAAUGCUGCUCAAAAUGGGAGGUAGACCCCUUCUAAAGCUAAAUACCGGCCAGAGACCGAUAGCGCACAAGUAGAGUGAUCGAAAGAUGAAAAGCACUUUGAAAAGAGGGUUAAAUAGCACGUGAAAUUGUUGAAAGGGAAGCGCUUGUGACCAGACUUGCACCGGGGCGAUCAUCUGGCGUUCUCGCCAGUGCACUCGCUUCGGUUCAGGCCAGCGUCGGUUCGCGCGGGGGGAUAAAGGUACUGGGAACGUGGCUCCUCCGGGAGUGUUAUAGCCCAGUGCGUCAUGCCCUCGUGUGAACCGAGGUUCGCGCUCUGCAAGGACGCUGGCGUAAUGGUUACUAGCGACCCGUCUUGAAACACGGACCAAGGAGUCGAGGUUUUGCGCGAGUGUUUGGGUGUUAAACCCGCACGCGUAAUGAAAGUGAACGUAGGUGGGAGCUUCGGCGCACCACCGACCGAUCCUGAUGUUCUCGGAUGGAUUUGAGUAGGAGCGUAAAGCCUCGGACCCGAAAGAUGGUGAACUAUGCUUGGAUAGGGUGAAGUCAGAGGAAACUCUGAUGGAGGCUCGCAGCGGUUCUGACGUGCAAAUCGAUCG
rnacentral:rRNA from 1 species